rnacentral:tRNA from 1 species
GGAGGCCUUAGCUUAAGUAAAGUGUCUGAGUUGCAAUCAGGAGAUGUAUUUUGUAGUUUACAGGUCUUCAGAAAUU